rnacentral:rRNA from 1 species
CCUACGGGAGGCAGCAGUGAGGAAUAUUGGUCAAUGGGCGCGAGCCUGAACCAGCCAAGUAGCGUGAAGGAUGACUGCCCUACGGGUUGUAAACUUCUUUUAUAAAGGAAUAAAGUGCGGCACGUGUGCCUUUUUGUAUGUACCUUAUCAAUAAGGAUCGGCUAACUCCGUGCCAGCAGCCGCGGUAAUACGGAGGGUCCGAGCGUUAUCCGGAAUUAUUGGGGUUAAAGGGAGCGUAGAUGGGUUGUUAAGUCAGUUGUGAAAGUUUGCGGCUCAACCGUAAAAUUGCAAUUGAUACUGGCAGCCUUGAGUACAGUUGAGGUAGGCGGAAUUCGUGGUGUAGCGGUGAAAUGCUUAGAUAUCACGAAGAACACCGAUUGCGAAGGCAGCUUACUAAACUGCAACUGACAUUGAUGCACGAAAGUGUGGGUAUCAAACAGGAUUAGAUACCCUAGUAGUC